rnacentral:pre_miRNA from 1 species
AUAGUACUCCCUCUGUUCCAAACUGUAGGUCGUUUUGGGUUUUCUAGAUACAUAUGUUUUUGUAUGUAUCCAGACAUAAUAUAUAUCUAGUUACAUACAAAAACAUAUGUAUCUAGAAAAGCCAAAACGACCUACAAUUUGGAACGGAGGGAGUAUUAG